rnacentral:rRNA from 1 species
CUGCUGCCUCCCGUAGGAGUUUGGGCCGUNUCUCAGUCCCAAUGUGGCCGUCCACCCUCUCAGGCCGGCUACUGAUCGUCGCCUUGGUGGGCCGUUACCCCGCCAACAAGCUAAUCAGACGCGGGUCCAUCUUACACCACUAAUGUUUUUCACUCUGUCCCAUGCGGGACUGUGCGCUUAUGCGGUAUUAGCACCUAUUUCUAAGUGUUAUCCCCCUGUGUAAGGCAGGUUACCCACGCGUUACUCACCCGUCCGCCACUUAAG